rnacentral:lncRNA from 1 species
GGCACAUGCACGGCCUUGUGACUGCUGAGUCCAGGAGCUGUCUGGAAAGGCACGUGAAGCACCAACUCCAGAUCGAGUGUGACAGCAGCAGACUCCCCCUGGACAUUCAUCCAAACCACCAGUGCAGCACAGGCACAGUACCAGGUGCUAAACUAGGCCCAGCAGCCACAAACUGCCUCUCCAGGCUCAGGGUCUCAUUGAAGUAAGAAAGCCACGCCCCACUGUUGGGCCCCUCCCACAACCGGAAGUGCUAAUCACCAGGCCUGGUGGUUGAGACUUCUGAGUAGGGAGGUAUCCAAGGACUUCCCCGCAACACAGACUCCAACCUGGGGUCCGACCACCCAGGCCCAGGUGAAUCAUGGCAAAGGGGCAGUUUCUUUGGGGAGAACAUGACACAAAGUUAGUCUGCAAAGAAGUGGUUCACCUGUUGAAAAGGAAUUAAGACCUUUGGACAGAGGGAACAGGUUCAAGUUCCUGAGUUUUCAAUAUCCUUUUAACAACCAGAAUUAACUACACAGAUGUAUUCCAUGUUCUUUACCUGCCUAUCUAGACUGGGAAGUCAAAAUUCCAACCUAUUCUAUAUGAUACCAUGUCACAUCUGCUGGGAAAGGAGCACCUGGGACUCAACUAGUCUUUGAUGAGGAUAGUUUCAAUAUAUGUGCUCUAACACUUACUUUAAAAAAAAGUUAAAUGAAUAUAAUGUCAAAAUACAAAUGCUAGCUGCGUGGGGGUGGAGGGUUCUGAGUCUUUUCUCUUUCAUUCGGCAGGUAUCUGUACUCUACAUAAAGCACCACUAUAUCCUGAGAGGGAGAGAAGCUGUCUCAAGUUACAACUAGUGUGAUCUGUAUAAUGCUGCUGAUCAGAUUAAAUGCAGGCUCUACCACACAAGCCCACCCACAGCCGCAUAUUCUCCAGGAAUCCUCAGGACUGCCCCUCUGAGCUGCCUGGCCGAGCAGGCAGAGACCCCGGCAAGUGGCAGCCUCACCCAGGGGCCAGCAAGCCUGAGUGCACAGCAAGCUGGGUGAAUGCGUCCAGAAGACUCCCGGAGCCAAACACCCCGUCACCUGAGGGUAACACCUACUCUUUCGCUAACCUUUAUUCCUAUGCCUCCCCGUUCCAGAAUACUUCGCUCCGGAAUCGGAGAGCUCCAAGUACCCAGAUGAUCCUGACCCUGCAGGUCUGGGUCUGGCUGUGGUGCUGGACCCAGGCACAGGCUGCCUGCUGAGACCCCGCCUCACACCCUCAGCCUCCUGACAACUACACUACCACUGAUGCCUCAUUUCCCAUUUCCACUCUGAAAAGUUUGCUGCUUUACUUUGAUUGAGCAAAGCUGUCAUCAUUGGGUCCCUCAACAGAAUCCGAUUAGUCGUAUCACCCACCUAUUUAGUUCCCUUCUCUUCCAGGGGGAGAAGAAUGCCUAGGCCCUCAGAGAAGCCCUCAGCUACACUUCUGAAACCAGCCCAGGGAAUUCAGCUGAGAAUACAAACAUCUGCUUCAGGCCUUGCCCCCUACUGCGUACAAAUGAGUCAUGUUCCUUUUCAAGAUUUCAUUUUCUUUUUAUGACGACAAGGGAAAAAAACGUGCAGGGAAGACAAUGUUUUCUUGGUUACAAAAGCUGUCUUUGGUAAAGGGGGAUCUCAAAAGAUUUCUGUUUUGCCCCAUUGGAACGUUUUCUUGCAUUCUGUUGGUUAAGCAUUCACUUGGUCUCUAUACAGUCUUUUAAAGUUUUGACAGAAUAAACUUGAAGGAAAAGGAAGUGCUGAAAAAAUCUCCACCUCUCAGAAAAGUCAAUGAAUUCUACAAAAGUAAACAGCGUUUGAAAGAAGACAGCCCGCCCGGCGUCAGGUCCGUGGUGGAAGCCCAGUGCUUCCACCAGCAGAGAGGCUGCCUUCCCUGGGUCCCUGGGCACCUCCUGCUGAGCAGUGUCCCGCAGCUGAGUGAGUUUUAGAAUCUGGCAUCGAACGUCCUUGGCUUUUCAUCCAAGCAAAGAAAACAGUGAUAAUGGAUAUCUUCCAGCUGCAUACCUUCAUGACACUCAAUAGGUUUUAUUUGGAUUAAGAAAUGCAACUGCUUUUAGAAUCC